ACCCGAAAAUAUUCCCAACGCCGAAUGACUCAAACGUCAAAGCUAUCAAAAACAAAAAUGAAAUAAAAUAAAAGAAAAAAGAAAAAAUGGUCCGAUUUAUUUUCCUUCCAUUUUCUUCUUUCGUUCCCUUCUCCUUCGUUUCGUUUUCCACAGAAUCUCAGCUCCAGACGCCACCUUUCUCUCUCUAAAAUUGAGACAAAAGACAAUUCUACAACUCCACAGCUGCCUUUCUAGACCACCAAAAACAACCCAAUUCUUUUUUCUUUCUUUUCAGUUUUUAAAUAUUAACCAACAAAGAAGACGAUUCCACAGAUUCUAUUCUGUAUCUUCAAUUUGGUUUCUGAAGUAAAAACAAAAAAAGGAAAAAAAUUUGUUUUUUUGGGUGAAUUUGGAAUUGGGUAUGGAGCCGCCGGAGGACAGUAAGAUAGGGUUGGAGGAGGCGGAGGAGAUAAUCUUGCGGUGGGACUCGACGGCGUCGGAUGAGGCGAGGGACAAGAUGAUCUUCGACGGCGAUCGGCUCGAGGUUGAUCGUUACCUCCACGCCGUUGAUCGAAUCCAACGGUCCAUCUCCUCCAUUUCGAUCUCCGACGAUCAGGCCAAAGUCAACUCCGCCAUCCAGAUCGCCAUGGCUCGCCUCGAGGAUGAGUUCCGCAACAUCUUGUUGAUCCACACCGCCCCUAUCGAGGCCGAUUCCCUCACCGAUCCGAGCUCCUCCACUCACUCCUCCUCCGCCGCCAGCAGUAGCGGCGCCGCCGCCGACUUCGAGGACGAUCCCUACGAGGACAAGGACGACGACGAGAUUCUUCAGCGUGGAGAUUCGAGCAACAGUGUGAGCUACAGGUCCACCAGUAGCAUCCGUGAGAUCGAUCUGAUACCGUCCGAUGCGGUGAUUGAUCUCCGGAGCAUCGCGGAGCGGAUGAUCUCCGCCGGAUACUUGCGUGAGUGCAUUCAGGUGUACGGAAGCGUCAGGAAAUCGGCUGUGGAUUCGAGUUUCAGGAAGCUAGGGAUCGAGAAGCUCAGCAUCGGCGAUAUCCAGAGGCUGGAGUGGGCCCAGCUCGAGACGAAGAUCAGACGGUGGAUACGCGCCGCCAAGGUCUGCAUCAGGAUCGUCUUUGCCAGCGAGAAGAAGCUCUGCGAGCAAAUCUUUGAAGGCUUAGGCACGGCCAUAGACGAUGCCUGCUUCAUGGAGACUGUGAAAGGCCCCGCGAUUCAGCUCUUCAAUUUCGCCGAAGCGAUUAGUAUCAGUCGGAGGUCGCCGGAAAAAUUGUUCAAGAUUUUAGACCUUCAUGAUGCUUUGAUGGACUUGAUUCCGGAUAUUGACGCCGUGUUCGAGUCGAAAUCGUCGGAAUCUAUUCGAAUACAGGCCGCGGAGAUAUUGUCGCGGCUGGCGGAGGCGGCGAGGGGAAUAUUGUCGGAAUUUGAGAACGCCGUGCUUCGAGAGCCGUCGAGGGUACCGGUCCCCGGAGGGACAAUUCACCCCUUGACUAGGUAUGUCAUGAAUUACAUAAGUUUGAUAUCUGAUUACAAGCAGACACUGAAUGAGUUAAUCGUGUCGAAACCGUCGACCGGUUCCCGGUAUUCGGGGGAUCCAACGACCCCGGAUAUGGAGUUUGCGGAGCGGGAGGGGAAGACCCCCUUGGCGCUCCAUUUGAUUUGGAUCAUUGUGAUUUUGCAGUUCAAUUUGGACGGCAAGUCCAAGCACUACAAGGACGCUUCCUUGGUCCAUUUGUUCAUGAUGAACAAUGUUCAUUACAUUGUUCAGAAGGUGAAAGGAUCUCCAGAAUUGAGGGAAAUGAUCGGAGACGAUUAUUUGAGGAAGAUGACGGGGAAAUUUCGCCUUGCAGCUACUAAUUACCAGAGAGCUACUUGGGUGAGAGUGUUGUAUUGUCUUAGAGAUGAGGGCUUGCAUGUGAGUGGGAGUUUCUCUUCUGGGGUUUCAAAGAGUGCUUUGAGAGAGAGGUUCAAGACCUUUAAUGCCAUGUUUGAGGAAGUUCAUAGGACUCAAGCAACAUGGUUGGUACCAGAUUCCCAGCUUAGGGAAGAGCUGAGGAUAUCAAUCUCAGAGAAGUUGAUUCCAGCUUACAGAUCAUUCUUGGGGAGAUUUAGAAACCAUAUAGAGAGUGGAAAGCAUCCAGAGAAUUACAUCAAGUACUCAGCGGAGGACUUGGAGAAUGCCGUGUUGGACUUCUUUGAGGGAUGUCCUGUAUCUCAGCACUUGAGGAGGAGAUCUCAUUGAUGGAAUGAAGCGAGUUUUUGCAACUUAGAAGCUAGGGAAAAACAUUCUUUUAAUUUUUUGGAGCGUUUGGGUGAUAUGGUGCUGGUCAUUCUGGAAUUUUCCGACUUCUUCUAUUUAUUCUACUUCAAUUCAGUGUUCAAGAAACCAAGCUCAGUAAGAAGAUCCGGUGUAACUCUCCAGACUGGCCAAGUCCUCAGCCUAGAUGCUUCUGCCCUAAAAUGAAGUUGAAUCAGUCAUUGGCCCCUGGCUAUUUUGGAUAGCCCCCUGAAAAGCACUUUGGCGGAGGUCGAGGUACAUUAAACGAACAAAUUCUACAAUAAAUUUUCAUAGAAGGCAAUCAUUU